GCCGGCCACGGUGGCAUGUGCCUGAAGUCCUAGCUACUCGGGAGGCUAAGGCUGGAGGAUCACUUGAGCCCAGGAGUUCUGGGCUGUAGUGUGCUAUGCCAAUCGGUGUCUGCACUAAGUUCGGCAUCAAUAUGGUGGCCUCCUGGGAGCAGGGGACCACCAGGUUGCCUAAGGAGGGGUGAACGGACCCAGGUCAGACAAGGAGCAGGUCAAAACUUGCAUGCUGAUCAGUAGUGGGAUCGUGCCUGUGAAUAGCCACUGCAUUCCAGCCUGGGCAACAUAGCAAGACACCGUCUUA
rnacentral:SRP_RNA from 1 species